UAAAUUUAUGAAGCAGGUUAUCAUAAAUAAUGAUUAUAUCCGUCAGACUCUUAGGGCAGAAAAAUUACAUACUGCAGUCAAAAAUAUUUUAGGUGGAUCAAAACCGAUGGCGGAUGUUUCUCUUAUGUUGGCUG